AGCACAACUUGAAUUGUAAAUGUGCUUCUACAUCAUCGGUUAUUUUUUAAUUUGAUAGGCCAAAAGUAUGUAGCUGCUGUAUAAAAUUUUCUAGGCCACUAAUAGUAAGCAUAAUGUAUGAGGUAAACCUUGUCUAAACCUCAUUACAUUCAUAACAUUAUUAUUAUUGUAACAACAAAAAAGAAAUAACAAUUUUCUCUCUUUUUGAUAGACACGGAAGAACUAUAUUUUCCUAAUUUUCAUUCAUCUCAACAGGCAUUGAAAACCAUUUUUCAUUUCACUCUCCUCUCAAUCUUUUCAUCAAUGGUUAACAUAUCUAUUUCCAAGAUGAUUAGGCAUGUCAUAUAUCUCUUGGACUCGUGGGUGGGAUCCAUCCCCA
rnacentral:lncRNA from 1 species